GGGCGAUUAGCUCAGUGGGAGAGCGCUACCUUGACACGGUAGAGGCCACUGGUUCAAUCCCAGUAUCGCCCA
rfam:Frankia symbiont of Datisca glomerata, complete genome.